rnacentral:rRNA from 1 species
GACGAACGCUGGCGGCGUGCUUAACACAUGCAAGUCGAACGGAAAGGCCCUGCUUUUGUGGGGUGCUCGAGUGGCGAACGGGUGAGUAACGCGUGAGUAAUCUGCCCUUGACUUUGGGAUAACUUCAGGAAACUGGGGCUAAUACCGGAUAGGAGCUCCUGCUGCAUGGUGGGGGUUGGAAAGUUUCGGCGGUUGGGGAUGGACUCGCGGCUUAUCAGCUUGUUGGUGGGGUAGUGGCUUACCAAGGCUUUGACGGGUAGCCGGCCUGAGAGGGUGACCGGCCACAUUGGGACUGAGAUACGGCCCAGACUCCUACGGGAGGCAGCAGUGGGGAAUAUUGCACAAUGGGCGGAAGCCUGAUGCAGCAACGCCGCGUGCGGGAUGACGGCCUUCGGGUUGUAAACCGCUUUCGCCUGUGACGAAGCGUGAGUGACGGUAAUGGGUAAAGAAGCACCGGCUAACUACGUG